rnacentral:rRNA from 1 species
UCUCAAUGAAAAUUAAAUAGCCGCAGAAAUUUAACUGUGCUAAGGUAGCAUAAUCAUUAGAUUUUUAAUUAAAAUCUGGAAUGAAAGGAUUAACCUUUAAUAACUUUCCUAAAAUAAAUAAUUUUAAAUUAUAAUAAAAAUAAAAAUAUUUUUAUUCCUAAAAAAGACGACAAGACCCUAUUGAACUUAACUUAAGUUAAGCUGGGGCAGCUUAUUAAAAACAAUUUUAAUUUAAAUCCUUAAAUAAACACCUAAUAUUAUUAAAUCAAACAAGUUACCAUAGGGAUAACAGCGUAAUUUUUUAAAAAAGUUCUUAUCUAAUAAAAAGAUUGCGACCUCGAUGUUGAAUUAUAUUCCUUUUUAAAGCAAAAUUUAAAUAUAGGAGGUCGUCGAUCAUAA